UCCUACGGGAGGCAGCAGUGGGGAAUAUUGCACAAUGGGCGCAAGCCUGAUGCAGCAACGCCGCGUGAGGGACGAAGGCCUUCGGGUUGUAAACCUCUUUUAGUAGGGAAGAAGCGACUGGGUUUUCCUGGGAGUGACGGUACCUGCAGAAAAAGCACCGGCUAACUACGUGCCAGCAGCCGCGGUAAUACGUAGGGUGCAAGCGUUGUCCGGAAUUAUUGGGCGUAAAGAGCUCGCAGGCGGUUUGUCGCGUCUGCUGUGAAAACCCGAGGCUCAACCUCGGGCCUGCAGUGGGUACGGGCAGACUAGAGUGCGGUAGGGGAGAUUGGAAUUCCUGGUGUAGCGGUGGAAUGCGCAGAUAUCAGGAGGAACACCAAUGGCGAAGGCAGAUCUCUGGGCCGUAACUGACGCUGAGGAGCGAAAGCAUGGGGAGCGAACAGGAUUAGAUACCCUGGUAGUCCAUGCCGUAAACGUUGGGAACUAGAUGUGGGGACCAUUCCACGGUCUCCGUGUCGCAGCUAACGCAUUAAGUUCCCCGCCUGGGGAGUACGGCCGCAAGGCUAAAACUCAAAGGAAUUGACGGGGGCCCGCACAAGCGGCGGAGCAUGCGGAUUAAUUCGAUGCAACGCGAAGAACCUUACCAAGGCUUGACAUAUACCGGAAACGGCUGGAAACAGUCGCCCCGCAAGGUCGGUAUACAGGUGGUGCAUGGUUGUCGUCAGCUCGUGUCGUGAGAUGUUGGGUUAAGUCCCGCAACGAGCGCAACCCUCGUCCUAUGUUGCCAGCACGUAAUGGUGGGAACUCAUGGGAUACUGCCGGGGUCAACUCGGAGGAAGGUGGGGAUGACGUCAAAUCAUCAUGCCCCUUAUGUCUUGGGCUUCACGCAUGCUACAAUGGCCGGUACAAAGGGCUGCGAUACCGCAAGGUGGAGCGAAUCCCAAAAAGCCGGUCUCAGUUCGGAUUGAGGUCUGCAACUCGACCUCAUGAAGUCGGAGUCGCUAGUAAUCGCAGAUCAGCAACGCUGCGGUGAAUACGUUCCCGGGCCUUGUACACACCGC
rnacentral:rRNA from 1 species